rnacentral:sRNA from 1 species
CCCUAGCCCCGAUAAAAGUGAAAAUCCUUUUUGUCAGCCUCUUCGGCAGACCAAAAGAUUGUAAAGGUUAGCGGGAAAUAGC